rnacentral:rRNA from 1 species
UACAGAGGGGGCGAGCGUUGUUCGGAAUUACUGGGCGUAAAGGGCGCGUAGGCGGCCUUCUAAGUCGAACGUGAAAUCCCCGGGCUCAACCCGGGAACUGCGUCCGAUACUGGAAGGCUUGAAUCCGGGAGAGGGAUGUGGAAUUCCAGGUGUAGCGGUGAAAUGCGUAGAUAUCUGGAGGAACACCGGUGGCGAAGGCGGCAUCCUGGACCGGUAUUGACGCUGAGGCGCGAAAGCCAGGGGAGCAAACGGG